rnacentral:rRNA from 1 species
CCUACGGGAGGCAGCAGUGAGGAAUAUUGGACAAUGGGCGCAAGCCUGAUCCAGCCAUGCCGCGUGCAGGAUGACGGUCCUAUGGAUUGUAAACUGCUUUUGCACAGGAAGAAACAACGCUACGUGUAGCGUCUUGACGGUACUGUGAGAAUAAGGAUCGGCUAACUCCGUGCCAGCAGCCGCGGUAAUACGGAGGAUCCAAGCGUUAUCCGGAAUCAUUGGGUUUAAAAGGGUCCGUAGGCGGUUUAGUAAGUCAGUGGUGAAAGCCCAUCGCUCAACGGUGGAACGGCCAUUGAUACUGCUAGACUUGAAUUAUUAGGAAGUAACUAGAAUAUGUAGUGUAGCGGUGAAAUGCUUAGAGAUUACAUGGAAUACCAAUUGCGAAGGCAGGUUACUACUAAUAUAUUGACGCUGAUGGACGAAAGCGUGGGUAGCGAACAGGAUUAGAUACCCUGGUAGUCCACGCCGUAAACGAUGGAUACUAGCUGUUGGGAGCGAUCUCAGUGGCUAAGCGAAAGUGAUAAGUAUCCCAACCGUGGGGAGUUACGUUCGCAAGAAUUGAAAACUUNAAAGGAUUGACGG